UACGGAGGGUGCAAGCGUUAUCCGGAUUUAUUGGGUUUAAAGGGUACGUAGGCGGUGAAAUAAGUCAGUGGUGAAAUCCAGCAGCUUAACUGUUGAUGUGCCAUUGAUACUGUUUUUCUAGAGUGAUGAUGAGGUGGGUGGAAUUCCGAGUGUAGAGGUGAAAUUCGUAGAUAUUCGGAAGAACACCAGUGGCGAAGGCGACUCACUGGACACAUAUUGACGCUGAGGUGCGAAAGCGUGGGGAGCAAACAGG
rnacentral:rRNA from 1 species